rnacentral:piRNA from 1 species
UGGGAAAAAACGAUUCUGCAU